UUUGUCUGUGCAGUGACAAUGUUCCUGUCCCCAAUGUGGCCACUGCCACCGUGAGGGGCAGUUGCAGCACGCGGUGCUGCCGGCAGACUGCUCGCCAGAGAGCAGAGCUGUUGGCAGCGGGGGCUGCACGUGUUACACCAGCCUGGUAGGUGUCAGAACAAGCCUGAGGCGAGCACUGAUGAUCUUUCACAUGCAGAAAAGCCUCUGUGGGCCAGAGUCCGGUGCUAAGGCCUGUCGGCACUGUCCGGUCCAUACAGCUCUUAUUUGCUGUGUACCACCUUUGUUUUGGAUUUAUUUCCAGCAGAGCAGCUAUUUGUUCAGGUGCUUGGGGAAAGGUUUCCCACGUGUCUCUGCAUAUCAUGGUGUCACCCACUGAGACUAUUUUGAUUUUAAAUUCUUCUUGGCAGGUUCACCUCUGCCUCUGUGCUAAGGCAGUGGCUUGCACAGAUGCCAGCUCACCAAGAUGCUGCCCUACAGCCUUUCAUUAGGUGUGAACUGUUUUAUAUUUUGGAAUAAUUUACAACCAUAUAUUUUGCUAAGAGGCUUCAGCUAUGCCCUUAUGUAGAAGGGGAAAGUGCCCUUAUUUAGGUUAAUGCAGAGCUCCCACCACAUUGCACGGACCGUGUGAUGCUGCAGAUGUGAGAGCUGGGAUCUAGCAGCCGCAGUCUGUGCUGCUGCAUGGAGACCUGGGAUUAAUGCUCGUGCUGUCGGUGCAAAGCACAGGCUGCCUGAUGUGGCUUCUCAGCUGUGGGCUGCCUGGUCCAGAGCCUGCCAUGGCGGGUGCUCAGGAAUGAGCCUUUUGAACCAGUCCGCUGGUUGCGGACUUGGCUGGCCCGGAGACAGCUGUGAAAUGAAGCCUGCUGAGGUUUGCAUUGCUUCCUCUUCACCCGAGAGGAACACAGUGCAUUUGCUUGCUAAGACUGCCCUCUCCCGAGGCAGCAGCCUGGAGGCAGCACUUAAAAACAUUAAACUGGGUUCAAAUCAUCUCCUGAUGAUCAGCGCUCUCAUUUUUCUCACUGCUUUUGUCUGAUAAUGGUUUGUUUUGUUUCAUAAUAGUUUCAUUUUGUCUGCAGCAAUAUUGACGUAAGCAUAGAAGCCACAAUAAGAAACAACAUCCUGUUUGAAUUAAAAAACAAAACAAAAACUCAACAAGGCACAGCUCGUUUCUGAUUACGUUCCCUAGAACCACAUGAGAGAGAGAAAAUGAGAGCUUUUCUCACUCAGCUCCUCCAGGUGUAGUCAGGGAGUGUGCAUUUUGUGAGGCUCUUUUACAAAGCCGCUCUGCUGAAGCAGAGCAGAACCACGUUUUUCUCUUCCUGGCCACGAGUGGAGAUGUCGGCUCUCCAGGGCUGCAGCAAAUGGCUCCCUGCACGAGCAGGGAGUGAACAGUAGCUUCAUUACCCCUUCAAGCCUUCUGAGCAGCGUGCACUAUCCUUCUGUGACCCAUCUCCGCAGGAGGAGAUCAGCUGCUCAGUUCUGCAGUGCUAACGAAUAAUGGCAUCUCUGAAACGAUGUGUGACAGCACGGGGGGAUUCUGCCAUCUCUGAAGGGAAAAGCAAUCCAGACCUGUUUUUUCCCUGACUUAUGCUUAGAUCUCUGCGCCUGGAAUGGAACAACUUUCUCUUGUGUUUCAGACAGCUAAAAUACUUUCAAGUUGCUUUUCCAUUGGAUAUAGGAGAUUGCUGUACCAUAUAAGUUCUGUAAUUGCAUUUGAGAAAGGGAAAAUUAUAUAUGUGCCCAAACCACCCAAAGUGCAUAAUUGCUCCAUUGAAAUACCUCUAGAGACAAUAUGAGGCCAGCAAUGGGAAGAGGAUUCCUCUUCCAUCUCUGCCAGCCAGCCCUGAGGUGAUGCUGGCAACGAAUGGCACAACUGAAACCACUGGGGAGAAAACAUUUACCAGUAUUCUCUUCCGAGUGGUCUCCGGGAGACCCAAGGCCAUCCCUUUCAUUCAUGAUACAGUGAGUACUGCGACUGCGUGGACUGCUUGGCUUUCCGUUGUGCGGCUCUUGCCACAGGAUUUUGGACCAGUGCAGAAAGCUGCUCCUGAGUACCUGCUUCUGCCUCCUGUUUUAUUGGACCAGCAGCAUUCCAAUGCUCAUUGCUGCUUCAUUAAAUUUGUGUUUUCAGGCACUAAAUUAUUUGCAUAAAAUCUCUGAUUUUCUGGAGUUGCAGCUUUGAACACCUGUGCAGCUGCUGCAGAGUUCAGGGAGUGUAUUGCAAAGGCAAAGCUAUCUAUUCUAAUUUAGGUUUCUAUAUAUUCCUCAAUUGCCUUGAAAGGGCCUGGAAGCAGCUGCUGAAAAGCCAUAGAAAACCUGAUUGAGGAAGAAAAACAGACUUGGUUGUUUAAUAAACACACAGACUCCUUCCAGGCCACUGAUAAGAACAAAAAGCACUGCAAGGGGAGGUUGGUUGGGUACCGGUGGGACAUCGUGGUGGUCCUGUUACCAGCAUGUCAUCGCUGAGGAAAGCUCCACGUGGCUGUAGGAAGCGGUGUCUCCCCACCCAGCCCCUCAGAGAGGAGGCAGACUGUGUGCAAAUCUUUAAUCUUGGUCUCUGAGACAACUUGGCAUUGACAGCUGACGUUUGGUUUUAUGUCAAACAGCUCACAGAGGCUCACACUGCAGAGAUGGCCCUCAACGAUGCCGCUGUAUCUGAGGUGAGCCCAGCUUAAAUCCAUGGGGCUCAUUUCCCUGCUGCAUCCCAAACCUCAUUGUUUAACCUACUGCCAAGCAGACCUCGAUUCCCCCAGCACCAGUUUCUCUGGGGCUGGCAUAGGGGACAAACCAGUGGCAAUGCCAUGUGAUGCCCAAACAGCUUCCACACCAGUUCCUGCUAGCAUGGCAGUGGUGUGCAAAACCUUCCAGCAGAGAUCCGCUUCCUACUUGACAACAAGGCAUAGGAUUUCAGCAAUAUAUUCUUUUGAUUUUCUUGUAAAGUCAUUUCUGUUUUUCAGAUCAAACUUCAAGAACCCUUGAGAGCUUUUUUUCUGGAAGUUAUAAUAAAUGAAAUCAAUUCUAAGUCCACAGGGAUGUUUUCUUCUGUGAUGUCUUGUUAGUCAAAUCCAAAGUAUAUAAGCCAAGAGUAGUGUGUGUGUUUUUUUUCCCCCCCUCCUUUCUGUUUGAUUUGUUUAUUUUUUUUUUUUUGUUUGUUUUUCCCUCUGGAGCAAUUUAAGAGUCUGUUCUUUCCUGAAUCAGUUGCAUAUUCUACAUGCGUUAAUUCAUAAAAGGCAAGCUGGGUCUUAGGACUCUUGUAUAUAAACAACCAUGAGCUUGGGUCUUAGACUACGCUGUUUAUAUGCUAAAGUAAUGUGUAUAUAUAUAUUGUACAAAGCUGUAGGUGUCUGGGGGACUGAACAGUAAAAUCCAAAAGUCCUAAUGCGUGUUUCUGCAUACACCUGACUUAGGUUUGUUUAUCUCCAGAUGCACGCACCAAAUCCAUCUGUUCCUUCACAUCAUAAUAAAAUAAUUAUACUAAAAAUCAAGCAAAGGCUGCAUGUUCUCACUGGAGAAGUUUUCCUGUAUUGUAAAUGAACUUAAUCUUUUGCAAAUACAAAAUAAAUUUGUUAAA